rnacentral:rRNA from 1 species
UACGUAGGGGGCUAGCGUUGUCCGGACUCAUUGGGCGUAAAGAGCGUGUAGGCGGCCCGGUAAGUCCGCUGUGAAAGUCGGGGGCUCAACCCUCGAAUGCCGGUGGAUACUGUCGGGCUAGAGUGCGGAAGAGGCGAGUGGAAUUCCUGGUGUAGCGGUGAAAUGCGCAGAUAUCAGGAGGAACACCGAUUGCGAAGGCAGCUCGCUGGGACGUAACUGACGCUGAGACGCGAAAGCGUGGGGAGCAAACAGG